UUUCUCUCUCCUUCAGCUCUCGACGCCAUCGACAUUCCGACUCGGCGCUCAGAUGGCUUGGCGCUGUGGAUCGCUCUCUCGCUCUCUCAUGUCGACCGCCAGGGCUUCCUCUUCGCCAUUGCGCUCGUCACCGGGCCUCUCCCGCCCGGUCCGGUCGCCGCCUCUCUCUGUCCCGCGCGCGCAGUCCCGCCGGUUCUCUUUCGCAUCCCCGAGAAGCAUGGGCGAACUGGGUUGCACUCAAUCGUUUCUUCCUCUGCAUAGUGUGGUGUCUGCUCCGCGCCUCACAUCGCACCUCACUGUAGCUGCCCGAGCUUGUUGUGAGCUGUCUCAUGGUACCUUCCGACGAACUUGUCAGGAUCGCUAGUAUUUUCUUUGAAAAAAUGGAAAAGAUGGGUGAUGCGCAAGGACGUUCAAUCAUCCAAAGGCACGAUAAUGAUGCUGCAUUAUAGGUACUUGACAGGCUGUUUGGUUGGCACGAUCAAGGUGCAAAACUUGUAUUGGUGAAGUUGUGGAGAGGCAUGCUGUGGGGGGGGACUUCUGGUUCUAUACCGGAGAGUUGAAAUAAGUAUCUCUAGUGCUAGUUCUGAAGACUGCUUUUUCAUAGUUGAACCUCCAUCGUGUUCUCGUUAUCGUAGAUGGGAUUGAGAUGGUUUAGAGAGUACAUGCCAUUGCUGAGACUUGAUCACCUACUUUAGUAUCCUCUGGUGUCAAUUUUAAACCAUUGAGGAACAUCUGUCUAUUUAAUUCAAACCGAAAGUUGCCCUUCUAA